UACGUAGGGGGCAAGCGUUGUCCGGAAUCAUUGGGCGUAAAGCGCGUGUAGGCGGCUCGAUAAGUCUGCUGUGAAAGUCCAGGGCUCAACCCUGGGAUGCCGGUGGAUACUGUCGAGCUCGAGUCCGGAAGAGGCGAGUGGAAUUCCUGGUGUAGCGGUGAAAUGCGCAGAUAUCAGGAGGAACACCAAUGGCGAAGGCAGCUCGCUGGGACGGUACUGACGCUGAGACGCGAAAGCGUGGGGGAGCAAACAGG
rnacentral:rRNA from 1 species